AUGAACGCUAGCGGGAGGCCUAACACCUGCAAGCCGAGCGGUAGAGUCUCUUCGGAGACUUGAGAGCGGCGCACGGGUGCGGAACACGUGUGCAACCUGCCUUUAUCUGGGGGAUAGCCUUUCGAAAGGAAGAUUAAUACCCCAUAAUAUACUGGAUGGCAUCAUCUGGUAUUGAAAACUCCGGUGGAUAGAGAUGGGCACGCGCAAGAUUAGAUAGUUGGUGAGGUAACGGCUCACCAAGUCAGCGAUCUUUAGGGGGCCUGAGAGGGUGAUCCCCCACACUGGUACUGAGACACGGACCAGACUCCUACGGGAGGCAGCAGUGAGGAAUAUUGGACAAUGGGUGAGAGCCUGAUCCAGCCAUCCCGCGUGAAGGACGACGGCCCUAUGGGUUGUAAACUUCUUUUGGAUAGGGAUAAACCUAGAUACGUGUAUCUAGCUGAAGGUACUAUACGAAUAAGCACCGGCUAACUCCGUG
rnacentral:rRNA from 1 species